GACGAACGCUGGCGGCGUGCCUAAUACAUGCAAGUCGAACGCAGUGGGGACGGGUGAGUAACACGUGGGUAACCUCCCAUCAGAGGGGAUAACCAUUGGCAACAGGUGCUAAACCGAUACUGAUGGAUGGACCAGCGGUGCAUUAGCUAGUUGGUGAGGUAACGGCGCACCAAGGCCACGAUGCAUAGCCGACCUGAGAGGGUGAUCAGCCACACUGGGACUGAGACACGGCCCAGACUCCUACGGGAGGCAGCAGUGGGGAAUCUUGCGCAAGGGACGAAAGUCUGACCGAGCAAUGCCGCGUGAGUGAAGAAGGUUUUCGGAUCGUAAAACUCUGUUGGCAGAGAAGCGGUAUCUAACCAGAAAGCCACGGCUAACUACGUGCCAGCAGCCGCGGUAAUUC
rnacentral:rRNA from 1 species